CUUCUGACCAAUUAAGUUUUCCAUUACAGAACCAACGAUCCUAAAGGAACCUUGAAAAAUUUAGUCAACCCUGGGAUACAAUACAGAAGUUUUGAUACUACCGGCGGUAAGGAAGUGGAGAGUACAGUCUCAAUGCGAUGAUGACGUGUGGUCAACCUCUUCAGAAUCAAGUGUCGCUUAUACAAAUGCUGUGUAGACGCUGUCAUCACAUUCAUAUUGUAAUUCAUCAAUACAUCGUUCAACAUUGUCACAUCACAUUUCAUUCACUUACUCAUCAUGUCUCUUAUCAACCACAAAUUCGAUGUACCAUUGGGAAGAGGGAUUUACUUAGCAAUGACGGUGGUUUUUAUGGUUUGAAAUAGAGUUUUGUAUCGCACUAACAUUCCAUGAUGAAAUAAUUUCUGUUUUUUUUUUUUGUUUGCUGUCCUUAUAAGAUCCAAUAUUUAAAAUGUUUUAGCUCUGUGUUUACAAAAGUGACUUAAAGUUUAUUUUAAAACACCAACAAACGAUUGUACAUUUUGAUGCUCUACUACUCCCUUUAUGCAGCUGAAACUUUUGUAAAAGCGCGAAAUAAAAAAUUGCCUAAUAUUCCAA
rnacentral:sRNA from 1 species